rnacentral:rRNA from 1 species
GACGAACGCUGGCGGCGCGCCUAACACAUGCAAGUCGAACGAGCGCGCGAUAGCUUGCUUUUUCAAGCGAGUGGCGGACGGGUGCGUAAGGGGUGAGGAACCUGCCCUACAGUGUCGGACAACAGUUGGAAACGACACCUACUACCGCAUAGGCCCCCGCCCCGGCGUCGGGUCGAGGGAACUGGUGCCAUCCGCCUUGUGAUGGCGGCGCUUCCGAUUUGAUAGUUGGUGAGGGAACGGCCCACCCAGGCCACGGACGGUAGCCUGGCAGGGAGGUUGGACGGCCACAUUGGGACUGAGACACGGCCCAGACUACUACGGGAGGCAGGAGUGGGGAAUAUAGCACAAUGGGGGAAGCCCUGAUGCAGCGAGGCUGGGUGGAGGAAGAAGGUCGUAGAGAUGUACACUCCGGUUGUAGAGGAAGAUAAUGACGGUACUCAACAAGGAAGUGACGGCUAACUACGUG